CCUACGGGAGGCAGCAGUGAGGAAUAUUGGACAAUGGACGAGAGUCUGAACCAGCCAAGUAGCGUGAAGGAAGACGGCUCUAGGGGUGGUAAACUCUUUUUAUAUGGGAAUAAAAUGUUCCACGUGUGGGAUUUUGUAUGUACCAUAUGUAUAAGGAACGGCUAACUACGUGCCAGCAGCCGCGGUAAUACGGAGGGUGCGAGCGUUAAUCGGAAUUACUGGGCGUAAAGCGCUCGUAGGCGGUAUGUCAAGUCACAUGUGAAAUCCACGCGCUCAACGUGGGAACUGCAUAUGAAACUGGCAAACUGGAGUGUAUGAGAGGAUAGUGGAAUUCCAGGUGUAGGAGUGAAAUCCGUAGAUAUCUGGAGGAACAUCAGUGGCGAAGGCGACUAUCUGG
rnacentral:rRNA from 1 species